ACUUCGUCUCAUUCUGCUGUCAUUUAGGUAAAUUUCUGUUCUAUUUUAACUCUUGUUUGUGGUUCUCGAUUUGUUGCUGCUAUUUUCUCAGGGAUUUCAGCUUCAGUCAUAUGUAAUGGAUCUUUCUCUCUAAUAUGAUGGGUUUUCUUCUCCUUUUAUCUGGGAUUGUAAGUUUAAUUCAUAGGUAUUAUGAAUUUUUGAUUAAUUGAGAUUUGGUUUGUAUGUAUAUGAUUAGUUCAUCGAGAAUGGAUGUCAUGAAGUAGUUUGUAUGUAUUUGUAUUCAUGAAGUAGUUUUCGAUUUUGAUUGUUACUAUUUUUCCUCCUCUUCUUGUUGCAACAAUCAAACUCAUGAAUGUGUUUUGCAUAAGAUGAGAAUUGAUAACAAUGCGUUGAUUAUCUAAAAGUGUCUUAUUCAUUGCCUAACUGCAACGGGGGGUGGAAGAUUUUGAAAAUAAUGUGUUAUUAUGUCUUGCAUUGCCAUGAUUUCUUUAUCGUUUCCAUUUUUACAGUUAGAGUUCAUUGCAACUCAUUAGUAUUUUGUUUCAUAUAUUUGGUUUGGAGUUCCCUCUCGCUGCUGCAGUUUUUAUGAAAGUUUCAUAGUCAUUUCUAGAUUUUUUCUGUCACAUAUUUCUCUUCUUUUCUUUUCUUCUUGGCAUGUUUUUAAUGAUUAGAUGAUGAUAGAAGAAUUAAACCAAGUUUAUGAGCAGACCAGGGUGCAGAAAGGAAUUGAAUUGGUGUUGUCAAGCUAAUUAGUGCUAUGAUUUUAUGCUUGCAUUCUGGAAUCCAUUUGACUGAUUGAUGUUGGUGCUGUUAGAAUUUUACCUUAACUAGUUAGUGGCUGAAACUUUUCUUGCCAUGGAACACUGGAAAGAAUAAGUACAUGUGCAUGCCCAAAGUGUAAAUUGAAAUCACUUUCGAGAUUCCAUCAAGUGAUAGAAAUGCUACAUGAGGAAUGGAAUGCAUAGGCUUUUCAACUGUGCAGUGGAAGUUGAAGCAGCCAGAAUUUCAAACUUGUUGUUUUGUCAAAUCACUAGCAUAUCACUUAUGGCUGAACUAUUCUCAUGUCCAUACCACACUUAAAAGUGAUCUAUUUUCAACUUGCUGAGAUGCAUAAACUUCGUACUUUCUUUCUUAUGGAGUUGGACUAGUACUCAUGAAUAAAGCUAAUAGCGCUGUGAUUAUGCUGCAAAUUAAGCUUGCUAACAGAGGAUGUGCACCAAAUCUGGCUUUGGCUUUGACUCUUUUGAGUCCUUUGUUUGUUAUCGACUUCAUUAUCAUAUUUCAUGCUAUGGCUUGGCAUGUUGUUUGGUCUAAUUGGUCUUGUAACUUGAUAUUUUCAGAUAGUAACUGUACUUACUAG